rnacentral:rRNA from 1 species
GACGAACGCUGGCGGCAUGCCUAAUACAUGCAAGUCGAGCGAACAGAUGAAGUGCUUGCACUUCUGACAUUAGCGGCGGACGGGUGAGUAACACGUGGGUAACCUACCUAUAAGACUGGGAUAACUUCGGGAAACCGGAGCUAAUACCGGAUAACAUUUGGAACCGCAUGGUUCUAAAGUGAAAGAUGGUUUUGCUAUCACUUAUAGAUGGACCCGCGCCGGAUUAGCUAGUUGGUAAGGUAACGGCUUACCAAGGCGACGAUACGUAGCCGACCUGAGAGGGUGAUCGGCCACACUGGAACUGAGACACGGUCCAGACUCCUACGGGAGGCAGCAGUAGGGAAUCUUCCGCAAUGGGCGAAAGCCUGACGGAGCAACGCCGCGUGAGUGAUGAAGGGUUUCGGCUCGUAAAACUCUGUUAUUAGGGAAGAACAAAUGUGUAAGUAACUGUGCACGUCUUGACGGUACCUAAUCAGAAAGCCACGGCUAACUACGUGCCAGCCGCCGCAGUAA